AGUGAACGCUGGCGGUAGGCCUAACACAUGCAAGUCGAACGGCAGCACAGUAAGAGCUUGCUCUUACGGGUGGCGAGUGGCGGACGGGUGAGGAAUACAUCGGAAUCUACUUUUUCGUGGGGGAUAACGUAGGGAAACUUACGCUAAUACCGCAUACGCCCUACGGGUGAAAGCAGGGGAUCUUCGGACCUUGCGCGAUUGAAUGAGCCGAUGUCGGAUUAGCUAGUUGGCGGGGUAAAGGCCCACCAAGGCGACGAUCCGUAGCUGGUCUGAGAGGAUGAUCAGCCACACUGGAACUGAGACACGGUCCAGACUCCUACGGGAGGCAGCAGUGGGGAAUGUUGGACAAUGGGCGCAAGCCUGAUCCAGCCAUACCGCGUGGGUGAAGAAGGCCUUCGGGUUGUAAAGCCCUUUUGUUGGGAAAGAAAAGCAGCAGGUUAAUACCCCGCUGUUCUGACGGUACCCAAAGAAUAAGCACCGGCUAACUUCGUG
rnacentral:rRNA from 1 species